UCAAUUAUUUCAUCUCUCACCAAAACACCACCGCAAGCGAAAAUCCUCUUUCUCCUCACCACUUACCAUCAUCACUCAACUCUUUCUCUGAAGUCGAGUGAGCUGAUGACUCUAAACUUGAUAAUUAAACAAUCCUGAUCUAUCGAUCUUUCACUUGUGAUUUUUCAAAGAUGAAAACCCUAGCCGUUUCUCCACUUUACAUACUUUUUGCAAGAUGAUUUUCUUUCUGUAAUUUGAACUGAUUUCAAUCCAAAUCUGUUUUUCGCUGAGUUUCAGACACCCCAAAUUUCAGAUAGGACAUCUGUUUAGGUAAGGUUUACGGAUCUUUAGCUCGUGACGGAAAGGUUAGAGGGAAAACUCUAGCUAAACUAGACAAGAAAACCAGCCUAGAGGUAGAGCUCACAUGAGGAAUCUAAUAACUGCCGGCCUGGACCAAAGGAAGAAUGCAUGCAACCAAACACAGAGUAAUGGUGAAGGAGAAAAGAAAGAUUCUCGACUCAAUGCUACAACAUCCUCCAAAGGCAAAAUGUUGUUGGAGUAUUGGAUUGUUAUAGUGCAAGGGUUCAAGCAACGUGCAACAGGGAACAUGGAUGAUCCAUAUCUAAUCCCUGGUAUGUAUCUGAUAAGAAGCAGUUGCCUGUAGGUAAUAGUAAGAAAUGCAAACUCCUCUAAACACUAAUUUGGUUUGGUUACUUCGCUUGUAUCUGCCAAACAACAUCCUCAAGCAUCAAUAAUAAGCCGAUGUCAUAGAAUUUGUUUUUUAACUAGUAUUAGAUAGUAUAUCUUUCUGGUUUUAAUUUGAGAAAAUGAAUAUCAGUAUAUGCUAAUGUCAUGUCAAUUUCUUAAUCUGAUUGUUCCAAUUGUUUUUGAGAGGCCAAAGUCCAAAGUUCAUUUUUCAUAUUAUAUUCUGUGACUCUGAGAUCAUAAUGAUGCAGCCUGUUUGGUGUUUGCAUUUACACCCUAACCGCACAAUAUUCGAGGAGUUGGACUGAACCUGGUAGUGCGUAUAAAAAAUGUUGUUUUAAACCAUAAGAGUUGCAAGUUUCUUAAGAUUUUGAGCCCCACUUUUUUACUAGGAUAUCGUGAGUAAAAUGUUUAUGGUACGAGUUGCGGGUGCAAGGGUUCAAGCAACGUGCAACAUGGAACAUGGAUGAUCCAUAUCUAAUCCCUGGACUUGCUCGGAAACUUGUUCGAAGACCCUUUUUGAGGCGGGUGGUGUUCCCUGUAAAAUUGCGGAAAGCAUGUGGCUCCAUACUCAUCUUAUCCAAGAUUUGAUCUCUAUUUCUCGAACAAGUGUUCCUAAAUACCCGAGGAUGGUGUUGUGAAGUUGGAUACUUCGUUGUCGUUGUUGACUUACAGCUCGAGUGAAUACAUUGUUUUUUGUUUCAUGAAGUGGGUGUUGUAUAUAUAUCUGCUUGAAAUGGCCAUUUGGUUUGAUUUGUUGCAGCUAAUUUUCAGUGAAAUCAAAGUGGGAGAAGAAACUUGGACAUUGUGGUUUUCAUUGUAGUUUUCUUAUGGCAUCCUUUUCCAGCCAACGGCGGAAAAUCUGAAUUACUACAACUCGAAUCCAGAAAUGCUACUUAAAUGUAUGAAUUCAUUAUAAUUGAAUACUUUUUUUUUUGUGAUUUUGAAUCCAAGUAUGAAUUCAGUUAUGAAGUGUUAUGAGUUCAGUCAUGAAUAGGUGUAACAAUGAACUUUUAUUUGAAUUUAUGAAUCCAGGUCUGAUUUUUAGUGUAA